AUGAGCCCCUGCCUCCUGGGCUGUGUGGUCUUCUGUCUCCUGCAGGCAGGGCUGGUCCACGCUGGUGUCACCCAGGACCCCAGAUUCCAGGUCGUGAGGACAGGACAGAGCGUGACACUUAAUUGUACUCAGGAUCUGGGUCAUAACUAUAUGUACUGGUACCGACAAGACCCGGGACACGGGCUGAGGCUGAUCCAUUACUCAGCUGGGACUCCCUACACGGAGCAAGGAGAUGUGUCCGACGGGUACAGCGUCUCCAGACCAAGCACAGAGAACUUCCCUCUCACGCUGAAUUCUGCCAACCGCUCCCAGACAUCUGUGUACUUCUGCGCCAGCAUUGACUCCAUGGUGCGGCACGGCCACCUCCUAUCUGUGCAAAAAGGCAGAUGA